AGGCAACUUCAUAAACACUUUGGAAACGUCGGACUGCCAAGAUCUCCAAUCACAUUCAUUGCUGCGACGUUCGACAGCCAAUCACUGUGCACAGAUCUUCAGCGCCGUCCAGAAUUUCCAGCAUUUAACCAGCCACAGCAAAGAAUUGUUGGAGUAGCGACUAAUCUUGACCCGUCAGAUACACGACCGUUCUUUUGUUACAGUAAGCUUGCAAGCAGAGCAACGAGACGGUCAGUAUUUAGGGGCUUUCUUUCUUACAACAUUUCUUCUGCUAAACCAUCGUGCUGUAUGCUUCAUUUAAGAGUCCGUGGUGCAUCGGUGUGUUUGAGCUUGUUUAAAAGCUCAUUGGCUUUAGAACGUAUGCUGUUUUCACAGUGUCUGCGUUCCAUUUUAGAUAAAAACACAGUUAUUGGGUGAGUACAGGUGUGUUUUUUUAUUUUGCUUCUUAUUAUAUCAUAGUUGCAUGUAAUCGGAGCGAUGCUAGAGAUAACAGCAACGAUACAAAGGUACACCAAGGUAAGGUUUGUGUGCACAGUGCGGUCGAACUGUAUCAUGUUACAUAAAAAAAAAGUUAAGAAAGGUUGUGGAUGGAAAAGGGCCAAUUGCGUGUGCCCCACUUGGGAUUGUGAUUGAGUACACGUUGCAUUGGGUGCGUAAACAUGGAGCCGGCGUUGAAAAGCGUGAGUUGGCAGCAGUGGGAUUCGAACCCACGCCUCCGAAGAGACUGGAGCCUAAAUCCAGCGCCUUAGACCGCUCGGCCAUGCUACCCUGGCGAAGAUGGUGCUCGUUUUGGAAUAAGAUGGUGUUCUGAGUUUUGCAGAAGUCAACAACACGCUUUUCUUCUUCAGACUGGUUUUUAAAUGAAAGUUAAAGAGAAUGCUGGAUUUUGAAGUGUUUACUGUGCACCUCGAGCAUACACACCAAACCCCCUGGUGUAAAUCCUUAAGUUGGCAGCGGUGGGAUUCGAACCCACGCCCCUGAAGAGACUGGAGCCUUAAUCCAGCGCCUUAGACCGCUCGGCCACGCUACCCCAGAAAGCUUUGAAAGUAGUACGGGACUCGGCAGAUGAUUGUCGCUCCCUUGCCUGAUGCCGCUAAUAUUGAAAUGUUAAUGGUAGGGGGUGGCUCUGCUGCCAGGUAUAAAUUCCGCCAAUUAAUGCCAUUAUGCUUGUAAGUUUGAAUUAGACAGGGUUCAUAAAAUCAAACAAACAAAAUUAUUAGCAUAUACGUAUAUGUGUGUGUUUAUUGCUAUAUCUUUGCGUUUUUCUCGUACAAAACAAGUUACACUUCCAAGGCCAAUCUUAACAACCACAUUUCCUCAUGAACAUAGCCAAUUUUCCCAAGAGGAGAGGAAGAUCUCAAGAUACAGGACAAAACCCCCACACGUUUUAUUUGAAGUCUUAUGAACUCAACACCAGAAGGUGGCGGUAUUUCCUAAGGCAACUUCAUAAACACUUUGGAAACGUCGGACUGCCAAGAUCUCCAAUCACAUUCAUUGCUGCGACGUUCGACAGCCAAUCACUGCACAGAUCUUCAGCGCCGUCCAGAAUUUCCAGCAUUUAACCAGCCACAGCAAAGAAUUGUUGGAGUAGCGACUAAUCUUGACCCGUCAGAUACACGACCGUUCUUUUGUUACAGUAAGCUUGCAAGCAGAGCAACGAGACGGGUGUGUUCCUUACCUUUCCUGCCCAAGCUGUUUUCCAAUGUCCUCCGCAACUCUUAUCAGGAUUCACUAUUCGAAACCUAGUAAAUAAAUGUUGUUUUGGAAUAAGAUGGUGUUCUGAGUUUUGCAGAAGUCAACAACACGCUUUUCUUCUUCAGACUGGUUUUUAAAUGAAAGUUAAAGAGAAUGCUGGAUUUUGAAGUGUUUACUGUGCACCUCGAGCAUACACACCAAACCCCCUGGUGUAAAUCCUUAAGUUGGCAGCGGUGGGAUUCGAACCCACGCCCCCGAAGAGACUGGAGCCUUAAUCCAGCGCCUUAGACCGCUCGGCCACGCUACCCCAGAAAGCUUUGAAAGUAGUACGGGACUCGGCAGAUGAUUGUCGCUCCCUUGCCUGAUGCCGCUAAUAUUGAAAUGUUAAUGGUAGGGGGUGGCUCUGCUGCCAGGUAUAAAUUCCGCCAAUUAAUGCCAUUAUGCUUGUAAGUUUGAAUUAGACAGGGUUCAUAAAAUCAAACAAACAAAAUUAUUAGCAUAUACGUAUAUGUGUGUGUUUAUUGCUAUAUCUUUGCGUUUUUCUCGUACAAAACAAGUUACACUUCCAAGGCCAAUCUUAACAACCACAUUUCCUCAUGAACAUAGCCAAUUUUCCCAAGAGGAGAGGAAGAUCUCAAGAUACAGGACAAAACCCCCACACGUUUUAUUUGAAGUCUUAUGAACUCAACACCAGAAGGUGACGGUAUUUCCUAAGGCAACUUCAUAAACACUUUGGAAAUGUCGGACUGCCAAGAUCUCCAAUCACAUUCAUUGCUGCGACGUUCGACAGCCAAUCACUGUGCACAGAUCUUCAGCGCCGUCCAGAAUUUCCAGCAUUUAACCAGCCACAGCAAAGAAUUGUUGGAGUAGCGACUAAUCUUGACCCGUCAGAUACACGACCGUUCUUUUGUUACAGUAAGCUUGCAAGCAGAGCAACGAGACGGGUGUGUUCCUUACCUUUCCUGCCCAAGGUGUGCAACUCUUAUCAGGAUUCACUGUUCGAAACCUAGUAAAUAAAUGUUGUUUUGGAAUAAGAUGGUGUUGAUGGAGUGUUGCAGGAGUCAACAACACGCUUUUCUUCUUCAGACUGGUUUUUAAAUGAAAGUCAAAGAGAAGGCAGGAUAUGAAGAGUUUACCAUGCUGAUCAAGCAUCAGUGCACACCAAGCCUCUUCUUGCAAACCCUAAAGUUGGCAGCGGUGGUAUUCGAACCCACACCCCCUAAGAGACUGGAUACUAAAUACAGCACCUUACACCACUCGGCCACGCUAACCAAUAAGCAUUAAAGGUAUGGGACUCGGGAGAUGAAAGCAGUCAGUGAUUGCCCCUCCCUUGCUUGAUGCUUCUAAUAUUGAAAUGUUAAUGGUAGGGUGUGGCUGUGCUGCCAUGUAUAAAUUCCGCCAAUCAAUGCCACUAUGCUUGUAAGUUUGAUUUAGACAGGGUUCAUGAAAGGGUUCAUAAAACGUGUUUCCUCUGGGUACUACGAUUUCUUUCCACUUCAAAACCAUGCAAAUGUUGGACUGGUGGUUGUAAGAGAAUGAGUGAGUGUGUGUGUGUUUGUUUUUCUUUUCACUUGCCUAGAGUUGUGAUUAGGGUGUGUAAUGCCUUGCAUUGUUAUCAUAUCAGGAUGAAUAAAUCAAUGCCCUAAA